AAAAAGUGCUGCUUUCGCUUGCGCGCCUGGAGCGCAGAGGACAGAGACAGAACGGCUCUUAGCGAUGCGGCGGAUGUGGUUGUGCUUCAGACAUGUCAGUAACACUGUGAAACCAAGUCACCAACGAAAAGUGGGCGUGAUGGUGGGAAGCAGAGUAGAAUGGGAGAGGAGAGGAAGAAAGGAGAGGUCCCUUUAUCCAGCUGGCUAUGUCAGCAAUAUAAAUGCCCAGUGAAGCCAAAUGCCUCAAAGAAACAUCGAGCUCCAGCGUGUAGUUCAAUCCAU